GGCCUUGGCUCAGUGGUAGAGCAUCUGCUUGGCCCGCAGUAAGUCCCAGGUUCCAUCCCCAGCAUCUCCA
rnacentral:tRNA from 1 species